rnacentral:sRNA from 1 species
GGGCUUCCCAGCCAAGUUCACAGUCCCAGUUCCCAAUCAGUUGCUUUGGAUGCACUGGAAUGGGUGGUGGGGCCACGUGACACUGAAUAGUAGGUUGUUAUGGCUGAGGAAGAUCUUUAAGGUCAUAGGAGUGGCAUAGGAUGGAGAAGGGCUGGCAUUCUCAACCCAUGGUGGGGCCAGGUGCAUUAAAAGAUACACCACAGGGAGCCAUAUCACCCCGAGGAAAAAACAAGGUCAAGACUGACAAUCCCGUGUAAGGUGUUUCUGGGAACCGGCACACCCUUAACCACCAUGCUGUGGUGGACGGCCAAUGAUACCCACAUAGAGAGCGCCUACCCGGGAGGCCGCGUGACUGAGGGGCCACGCCAGGAAUAUUCAGAAAACAAUGAGAACUACAUUGAAGUGCCAUUGAUCUUUGAUCCUGUCACAAGAGAGGAUUUGCACAUGGAUUUUAAAUGUGUUGUCCAUAAUACUGUGAGUUUUCAGACACUACGCACCACAGUCAAGGAAGCCUCCUCCACGUUCUCCUGGGGCAUUGUGCUGGCCCCACUUUCACUGGCCUUCUUGGUUUUGGGGGGAAUAUGGAUGCACAGACGGUGCAAACACAGAACUGGAAAAGCAGAUGGUCUGACUGUGCUAUGGCCUCGUCAUCAAGACUUUCAAUCCUAUCCCAAGUAAAAUAAACGGAAUGAAAUAAUUCAAA